AUUGAACGCUAGCGGGAUGCCUUACACAUGCAAGUCGAACGGAGUGGCUAACGGGUGGGUAAUGUAUCGGAACGUGCCCAGUAGCGGGGGAUAACUACGCGAAAGCGUAGCUAAUCCCGCAUACUAUUGGAGCGGCCGAUAUCGGAUUAGCUCGUUGGUGGGGUAAGGGCCAACCAAGGCGACGAUCCGUAGCUGGUUUGAGAGGACGACCAGCAACACUGGAACUGAGACACGGCCCAGACUCCUACGGGAGGCAGCAGUGGGGAAUUUUGGACAAUGGGGGAAACCCUGAUCCAGCCAUCCCGCGUGUACGAUGAAGGCCUUCGGGUUGUAAAGUACUUUUGGCAGGAAAGCGGUACCUGCAGAAUAAGCACCGGCUAACUACGUGCCAGCAGCCGCGGUAAUUC
rnacentral:rRNA from 1 species